GUAGGGAAUAUUGGACAAUGGGGGCAACCCUGAUCCAGCCAUGCCGCGUGAGUGAAGAAGGCCCUCGGGUUGUAAAGCUCUUUUGUCCGGAAAGAAAAGCUUCGGGUUAAUACCCCGGGGUUCUGACGGUACCGGAAGAAUAAGCACCGGCUAACUUCGUGCCAGCAGCCGCGGUAAUACGAAGGGUGCAAGCGUUACUCGGAAUUACUGGGCGUAAAGCGUGCGUAGGUGGUUGUUUAAGUCUGGUGUGAAAGCCCUGGGCUCAACCUGGGAAUGGCAUUGGAAACUGGGCAGCUAGAGUGCGGUAGAGGGUAGUGGAAUUCCCGGUGUAGCAGUGAAAUGCGUAGAGAUCGGGAGGAACAUCUGUGGCGAAGGCGACUGCCUGGACCAGCACUGACACUGAGGCACGAAAGCGUGGGGAGCAAACA
rnacentral:rRNA from 1 species